rnacentral:rRNA from 1 species
UACGAAGGGGGCUAGCGUUGCUCGGAAUGACUGGGCGUAAAGGGCGCGUUGGCGGCUUGUAUAGUCGGAUGUGAAAUUCCUGGGCUUAACCUGGGGGCUGCAUACGAGACGUAUGGGCUUGAGUGCGGAAGAGGGUCGUGGAAUUCCCAGUGUAGAGGUGAAAUUCGUAGAUAUUGGCUGGAACACCGGUGGCGAAAGCGGCUCUCUGGCCCGGUUCUGACGCUGAGGCGCGAAAGCGUGGGGAGCAAACAGG